CAGAAUUCGCCCUUAGAGUUUGAUCAUGGCUCAGGAUGAACGCUGGCGGCGUGCCUAAUACAUGCAAGUCGAGUGGACAGACGAGGUGCUUGCACCUCUGAAGUCAGCGGCGGACGGGUGAGUAACACGUGGGUAACCUACCUGUAAGACUGGGAUAACUUCGGGAAACCGGAGCUAAUACCGGAUAAUAUUUUCCACCACAUGGUGGAAUAGUGAAAGACGGUUUUGCUGUCACUUACAGAUGGACCCGCGGCGCAUUAGCUAGUUGGUGAGGUAACGGCUCACCAAGGCGACGAUGCGUAGCCGACCUGAGAGGGUGAUCGGCCACACUGGGACUGAGACACGGCCCAGACUCCUACGGGACGCAGCA
rnacentral:rRNA from 1 species